rnacentral:rRNA from 1 species
CCUACGGGAGGCAGCAGUAGGGAAUCUUCCACAAUGGGCGAAAGCCUGAUGGAGCAACGCCGCGUGGGUGAAGAAGGUCUUCGGAUCGUAAAACCCGGUUGGUAGAGAAGAAAGUGCGAGAGAGUAACUGUUCACGUGUGGACGGUAUGAAACAAGAAAGCCACGGCUAACUACGUGCCAGCAGCCGCGGUAAUACGUAGGUGGCAAGCGUUAUCCGGAUUGAUUGGGCGGAAAGGGAACGGAGGCGGUCUUUUAAGUCUGAUGUGAAAGCCUUCGGCUUAACCGGAGUAGUGCCUUGGAUACUGGUAGACUUGAGUGCAGAAGCGGUGAGUGGAACUCCAUGUGUAGCGGUGACAUGCUUAGAUAUAUGGCAGAACACCAGUGGCGAACGCGGCUCUCUGGUCUGUAUCUGACGCUGAGGUUC